UACGGAGGGUGCAAGCGUUGCUCGGAAUUAUUGGGCGUAAAGAGCGUGUAGGCGGUCCGGUAAGUCCGCUGUGAAAGUCCAGGGCUCAACCCUGGAAUGCCGGUGGAUACUGCCGGGCUAGAGUCCGGAAGAGGCGAGUGGAAUUCCUGGUGUAGCGGUGAAAUGCGCAGAUAUCAGGAGGAACACCGAUGGCGAAGGCAGCGCGCUGGGACGGUACUGACGCUGAGACGCGAAAGCGUGGGGAGCAAACAGG
rnacentral:rRNA from 1 species